CUUCCUCCGCCCGCCACAGUAAUUUGUCGUCAAGUCUGCCACAGGAGGAUAUUUUGUUCUGGGUUAACCUGCUUUUCUCCUUCGCAGGUGUUUAUCAAUACUUGUGUAAUUUUAUUUACUCCUAGAAUUUUCGCAUGUGUUAGUAGUAAUUAUUUGAAUUUGGUCUGUAAUAUUAUUAUUAUGUUGGACCUGUAAACUAAAUAUGCUAUGCAUGUUUGAUGGAUUGGAUGAGGGAGCUGAGCUCCCAUUUAUUUUAUGUUGAUGAGUAUGUGGAGGGUGAGCUGAGCUCCCCAAAUGACCAUAUAUUGUGUUUACAGGUCGGGUGAGUCGAAAACUCCCCGUUGGUAAGUCCAUUUUAUGGCCGGACUCUGUCCGUUUAUUUUCUUGA